rnacentral:rRNA from 1 species
CCCUUAGAGUUUGAUCCUGGCUCAGAAUGAACGCUGGCGGCGUGCUUAACACAUGCAAGUCGAACGAGGCGGAGGGGGGCAACUCCUUCCGUCGAGUGGCGGACGGGUGAGUAACACGUGGGUAACCUGCCCGGAAGUGGGGAAUACCUCGGGGAAACUCGAGCUAAUACCGCAUGACAUCUUUGGGACGAAGGUCCUGACGAUCAAAGCGGGGUCGCAAGAUCUCGCGCUACCGGAUGGGCCCGCGCCCGAUUAGCUAGUUGGUGAGGUAACGGCUCACCAAGGCUUCGAUCGGUAACCGGCCUGAGAGGGCGAUCGGUCACACCGGAACUGAGACACGGUCCGGACUCCUACGGGAGGCAGCAGUGGGGAAUCUUGCGCAAUGGGCGAAAGCCUGACGCAGCAACGCCGCGUGGAGGAUGAAGGCCCUUGGGUUGUAAACUCCUGUCGGCUGGGAAGAAAUCGUACGGUGCUAAUACCACCGUGCGUUGACUGUACCAGCAAAGGAAGCCCCGGCUAACUCUGUGCCAGCAGCCGCGGUAAUACAGAGGGGGCCAGCGUUAUUCGGAAUUAUUGGGCGUAAAGGGCGCGUAGGCGGCCAUGCGUGUCUUCCGUGAAAUCCCUCGGCUUAACUGAGGACGUGCGGAAGAAACUGCAAGCUCGAGU